UACCCUGUGGACGGGAAUAACCUCGGGAAACUGAGGCUAAUGCCCGAUACAGCUCCCGCCCUGGAAUGGUGGGAGCUGGAAACGUUCCGGCGCCACAGGAUGUGGCUGCGGCCGAUUAGGUAGACGGUGGGGUAACGGCCCACCGUGCCGAUAAUCGGUACGGGUCAUGAGAGUGAGAGCCCGGAGACGGUAUCUGAGACAAGAUACCGGGCCCUACGGGGCGCAGCAGGCGCGAAACCUUUACACUGCACGACAGUGCGAUAGGGGGACUCCGAGUGCGAGGGCAUACUGUCCUCGCUUUUCUGUACCGUAAGGUGGUACAGGAACAAGUGCUGGGCAAGACCGGUGCCAGCCGCCGCGGUAAUACCGGCAGCACGAGUGAUGGCCAAUCUUAUUGGGCCUAAAGCGUCCGUAGCCGGCCAGACAAGUCCGUUGGGAAAUCGGCGCGCUCAACGCGUCGGCGUCCAGCGGAAACUGUUUGGCUUGGGGCCAGAGGACCUGAGGGGUACGUCCGGGGUAGGAGUGAAAUCCCGUAAUCCUGGACGGACCACCGGUGGCGAAAGCGCCUCAGGAGGACGGACCCGACGGUGAGGGACGAAAGCUAGGGUCUCGAACCGGAUUAGAUACCCGGGUAGUCCUAGCUGUAAACGAUGCUCGCUAGGUGUGGCGCAGGCUACGAGCCUGCGCUGUGCCGUAGGGAAGCCGUGAAGCGAGCCGCCUGGGAAGUACGUCUGCAAGGAUGAAACUUAAAGGAAUUGGCGGGG
rnacentral:rRNA from 1 species